CCCCUGAAAGCCUACCACUCAUGCUACAAGACCCACCCUAGACCAUGUGGUACAGUUAUGACCUAUCAGGCCCCAGACUGUUCUAGCCCCCUCAGGCAUAGGCAGUGGGCGGGGUGUGACCACUCUAACAACCUGCCACCACCCUUGACCAAUUGGCAAGGGCUUCAGAGGCCUCAGACCUCCCCAGGAAUGGAGCCAAACCAACUGGAACAAGUAGAGGGGUGGGGCUUAGGCUGCAAGUACACCAAGUCUAUCUGCUUUCCCAAGCAAACCCUCUGUUUGUCUGAGACCAUGCUAAGGCAAGCAGGGGCAGAUAUGGAUUCUUACACAAUGCUUGAAGGCCCCUCACCACAACCCCAAGACUUGUUAGACGGCUGCAUAGAAAGAAUUACUGUAGAAAUAGUUUUGAGGAGGAGGGCAGUCCCCUAGCCCAAAGGCUCUUUGAGACACCUGACCCUGUUCAGGAAGCCCCAGUGAACAGGUAAAUGGAAGAGGCCCAGGCCCCCAAAGCAAAUGUUGAGAAUUUGGAAGAGAGUAUCCUUGUGCCAGAGCCUGCAUGGGAAGUAGAGGUCAUCACAGAAGAAGAGAGGCUGGUAAGAGACUUGAAGCAUGGUUGUGGGGGGCACUUAGGUUUUGAUAGUGGUGUGGGUUCAGUUCAUAGUGGGUAUGUGUUUGGAAGCUAAGGGCUGAUUAAACAGCAGCUAACUAAGGUUUAAUUUGAACUUCUUUGCAGUUAGAUGAAGCCUUUAUAAUGACUCAAGAAAACCUGCUCACCAGUACACCUGUAAAGUCAACACCAGAUGGAAGUGGCUGUUUUUGCAGAGAACAGAGACUGGAUGAGGAUGAAGAGUUUAGAAGACAAUCAGGCAUUGAUUCAUCAGGUCCUGUUUCAUGUCAAGAAUGUAAAAUCUUCAUCAAGUCUCUUGUGCACAUUUCUUUUUGUGGCAUAAUGAAAUACUGUUUGAGGAUGAGACUAUUUGAAAAGUGUUGGGGUUGUGUUCAUGAUCGGGGAGUCAAGGUGCUCAUGAUUGUGUUACCUGGUUAGAUGAACACAUAAAUGAAACAAUUCAGGAACUGCCAGGAAGUAUGUCUUGAGAGCAUUUUCAAUGCUGUUAUAGCUAUUGGCUUUGCCAGGAACAUUCUCAGAAUUACUGAGAAACAUUUACUUCAGGCUAGUGAGCUUCCAAACACUGUGUAUUCUGCAGAAGAUCUUAAUGCUGCUCUUUAUGAUUUGAUCACUGAGGAAGAUAAACCUCUCAUACCCUAUAUUGAAUGCUUAAUUGGUACUAGAAAUUAUAAAAUGCUACGUAAGAGAAGAGUUUAGCAAAAGCAGUUUAAAACAAGUUUUACAACUUUUACUGAUUUUUUGUGCGGGAGGGGUAGUAAAGAAGUAAAGCACAUCAACAGUUUUCAGCUGCCUAAAUUAGCAUUUGCUUUAGUGUCUUGGAUGUCUAAGCACAUACAUAUGGGGACUUUUUUGUAAAGACAAAGCCAAUGAGACUUAAUGGUUACUAGAAUUUGUAAAAAACCCUUCUUAGGAGAAGGGUUAACAAAAUAAACCAGUAAAUAUUGUAAAGGCUUUUCAUGGAAAUAAAGACUGAUUUUAAAAA